AUUGAACGCUGGCGGCAGGCCUAACACAUGCAAGUCUCACGAGUGGCGGAAGGGUGAGUAAUGUCUGGGAAACUGCCUGAUGGAGGGGGAUAACUAAUGGAAACGGUAGCUAAUACCGCAUACCCUAGGAAGUGCCCAGAUGGGAUUAGCUUGUUGGUGGGGUAACGGCUCACCAAGGCGACGAUCCCUAGCUGGUCUGAGUGGAGGACCAUGAACAAUGGAACUGAGACACGGUCCAGACUCCUACGGGAGGCAGCAGUGGGGAAUAUUGCACAAUGGGCGCAAGCCUGAUGCAGCCAUGCCGCGUGUAUGAAGAAGGCCUUCGGGUUGUAAAGUACUUUCAGCGGGGAGGCGUUACCCGCAGAAGAAGCACCGGCGAACUCCGUGCCAGCAGCCGCGGUAAUAC
rnacentral:rRNA from 1 species